AUUGAACGCUGGCGGCAGGCCUAACACAUGCAAGUCGAGCGGAUGAAGGGAGCUUGCUCCUGGAUUCAGCGGCGGACGGGUGAGUAAUGCCUAGGAAUCUGCCUGGUAGUGGGGGAUAACGUCCGGAAACGGGCGCUAAUACCGCAUACGUCCUGCGGGAGAAAGUGGGGGAUCUUCGGACCUCACGCUAUCAGAUGAGCCUAGGUCGGAUUAGCUAGUUGGUGGGGUAAAGGCCUACCAAGCCGACGAUCCGUAAAUGGUCUGAGAGGAGGAUCAGUCACACGAGAGGGGAGACGCGGACCAUGCUACUGAGAGAGGCACCAGAGGCGAAUAUUAGGCAGAGGGCGGAAGCAUGGUACAACGGGGGCAAGUGUGAGGAGGAAAUGUCCGGAGUGGGAAGAACUUUAAGUUGGGAGGAAGGGCAGUAAGUUGUGACCUUGCUGGAGUGACGUUACUGAGAGAAGAAGCACCGGCUAACUACGUG
rnacentral:rRNA from 1 species